AUGCACUUUCUUCCCCGUCUUCCACUCUUCUCCCUCCUCUCUUCCCCAUCGUCGGCCGCACACCAUUUCCCCCCUCUCAUUGCUUGCCAGCCCGCGCUAUCUUGCUUGGUAGCUCGCGCGUACCAUAUCCCCCCGCUCACUGCUCGGCCACGCGAGGAGAAGCUUCUUCGCUUGCCCGCUCGAAUCCACUUCCCCGCUGGCUCCACCGUCCAUAUGGCCGCAUGGUCGGUGUCUUUGUACCGUCUACUCGUCUGCAACCGGCCGACUCUUUUCAAGACACCCUGCUUGAUGAUGCCCAAUCCUCGCAGGUGGCCCAGACACCGACUUGAUGAUCCUACGGAGGUUGUCGUGGUGCCCCUCGACAUGCUACCACUACCCGUCCACAUGUCCUUCAUGCGCGACCACUACUGGGCGGGAAUGAAGGCCAACUGGAUCGUCCUCAUCCACCAAUCCGGUAGUCCGUGGCGUCUCAGGGAUAUCUACACCCAGCAAGAGAUCACCCUUCCAUCUUUGGAUACCGCCGCCAUCGAGCCUUGCGGCCCGCCGGACACUCCUGCCUACUACGCAUGA
rnacentral:rRNA from 1 species